rnacentral:misc_RNA from 1 species
AAUUCCGUUAACAGUAUGAAAUUUUCAUCCUUUCAGAGUUUUCUUGAGCUUUGGGAAAAGAAAAGUCAGCCAGAACCAGUCAGGAAGAGUGGAAAGAUGGAAGGGUUUCGCAAAAAGACAGCUGACUACACUGACAUAGCCUACCGUGAAGCAGUGACCAAACUGAGAUAUCUGUUAGCUGAAUCCUACACACCUUCAACAGGCUUCUCCAAGUACUCAUUGGGCCAUUAUCAUCCCUACAUUCCCACUGAAGGGAAUGUUCUGAUACCUCCCACUCCACGUCCUGCUCUAGGCUUGACACUCAAGAAGCCAGAGACUGAAGGACAGCCACCUCCUGAGUUGAUGUCCUUCAUCCAACGACAGGAGGAGUAUAUUGAACAGCUUGAAAAGGAGUCUCAAUACUGUAGGGAUGAACUAUCAAAUUUAAUGGGGAAAGUAAAAGAAGUGAUCACAGAGAAUGAGGGAUUGCACGAAAGACGCAAGUCAGGCAUGUUGCAAUCACUGUUUGACAGUUUUGAGAUGGAAGACGAUGAGGAGGAUGAUGACGCGAGCUCUGAAGAUAAGGUGGAGUCUCGACCAUCAAAGAAGAAACAUUUUAUUGGACCUAAUAUAAUGUUUGAGUCUCGAAUAAGCGAACUGGAAGCCCAGCUGACUCAAACUAAAAUGGAGUUGAAGAAAGCAGUUGAGGAGGCAGAGUCUCUGAGAAAGAGAGUAGCAGAGCAAGGCUUGCCUUCUCAAGUUUCCUCUGUACUACCACAUGCAUCUGACUCGGAGUUGUACAGGCAGAUUGAUGCUUUGCAGAGGGAGAGAGAAGAGCUGAAUGACAUGAUAAACAAACUUCACGCCUCCAUUGCACAGCUCAGAGAAAAAGAAGCCAAUGUCUCGCAAAAACUGAAAAGAAGUUUGGAUGCUGUAGAUCAGGCACACUUUGAGAAGAAUCAAUCUGAAAUGGAAGUGAGAAGGUUAAAAAAUGAGCUGGAACGAAUGAAUGAGAAGCAGCGUGAGAGCAUGGGGGAACAGAGCCGGCGGCUGGCAGAGGUAGAGCGCAGGUAUGCGGCGCAGACGGAGCAACUGAGCGCGGAUCUGUCAGCACAGUGGGAGAAUGCCACCAAGCUGGGCAUGGACCUCGAGAAACAGCGGCGAACAGAAACUGAGCUGCGACGUGAGCUCAUGCAGCGCAACACAACUCUCGAGGAGUUGAAGAAAGAGUUGAACACAAAAACCACUUGCAGAGUAAGAGUUGCGACUGUUUGCCAAGGCGCAUUACAGAGCGAGCUGUUGGCUUCAACGGGGGAGCGCGAGGGGCUGCAGGCUGAGGUAGCAGCACUGCGGCUGGCCGUGGAACGAGCCGAACGAGCAGGCAGACAGGACACAGCACGUCUGCAGGCGGAGGUCACCAGCUUGCGGCAGCGACUCGAUCGUGCAGACGCAGACCUGCUGCAUGCUCGCAAGGAAAACUUGCGCCUGACAGAUCAGAUUGCUUCACUCGAAAAAGAGCUCCAUCUGGCUAAAUUAACACACGAGGGUGGAGAAAAUCAAAUUUUAAAAGAUUCCAAAAGAGAAAAAGAGUUAACUUCAAUGAUACUUGAUAUGGAUGCCAAACACGGCAGGAGAUGGCGAGCCUACAAAGUAAUAUAGACUAUCUAAAUAGUAAGCUGCAGGUCCCCAGCUAUGACCAACAAGAGUGGAGAGAUGACGGAAUGGUCGGGGAAUAUGAACAGUCGCAGUAUGCCGAACAGCCCGCGGAGGGUUGACAUGCCUCUCACCAUCCAUGAUCUCUCCCUACCUCGUCUCUAUCUUUAAAAUAACUUUACGUGAG